CCAACUGGGCAGAGGGAUCUUCCUCCCAUCAUCACUGGUUCUGAGGCAUGAAGAGAGUCGGUGAAAAUUUGGGGAUUAAGACGGUGUUGUGGAAGGCCAGUAUGGACCUAAUAUGUGUUCUGGCUUGUCCAGCCAUGAUCCCCUGCUUACCUCUUUCCUGUGCUGCUCCCCACUUCAGCAGAGGGAAGAAGACACAAGGCUUGGAGACACCCAGUCUGAGGGUCCAGGACUUACCCAGGCUUGUUUUGCUCCUGUGGUAAGCCAGGUACAUACAUACACUUGGCAAAGCAAGCCCUGGGUUUCACCUAAUAGGGUCAGUUUUGACAGAGUGCCAUUCUGAUUGGCUCCAUUUGGCCACAGAGAGCAGCCAUCGGACUUAGGCAACUGAUAAAUAUAUAUGAGCAAAGAUGUAAAACAACAUGCUCUGCUUUGCCUCAUUUUGCUCUGCCUUGCCAUGCUCCACACCAGCUUUGUUAUGUGACAAGCUUUGAUGUUACAGACCUCCUGUCCACCUGGAAACUUCUGUGCCUCAGUUCACCAGGGAGCGGCAUCAAGUGUCUCCAUGCAGUAGGCAAGAAUUAUUGCUGAAAGCUGCCCAAACCCCACAGCCAGCCUAACGCGAAUUGAAAGUGAAAAGUUGCUCCUAGCUGGAGAGUCCACUUAGCCACCAGCAAGACAUGUCUAUCUGCAAACUUCUGUGACAAGUCUAGAGCCCUAGAAAGGACAGAGUCUGACCAAGAAGGAAUCAAGACCAGGUCAGAGACUGUGCUAACUCCAGCACCCUGCUAGAGCCCUGGGAAAACUCCAAAAGCCUCCAAUAGGUAUCAUAACCACUGACAGCAACCACUCCAAGUGUUUUGGGUACUGUCUGGGACUAUAAUGCAGCCCUGGGAAUCCAGAGAUACUAUCUUGUGAGUAAAUAUUCUAAAAAGCCUCUUUGUAAUUAAAGUUCUGAUUUGAUUCUGUAACUGAUUGUGCCUUCUGUUUCAGCAGAAAGUAGCAUCUCGAGUCCCCUAGAGGGCAAGUGGCAUAUUGACUGCAAGGAUCUCCUUCCAGUUCAAAUGAAUGUUUGUAUUUGCUAGUUUUCCUUAACUGUUUUUAAAUUGCUUGUCCCUUGUAUGUAAAUACCCACAACUGUGUAUUCGAACCUACUAAAUAAAUUUUCUGGCAAGAUUUAAUAUUAAUAAAUAAUUGUUCAUAGCUUUUCACCUGGAUGUUAACAUAAAAAUGAAUAAAAGUAAUCAAUAUUACCACAGACAGUGACAAA